CCACUCAUGACUGUGAACUAGUCAACUAUGUCCUUGCUAGUCUUGGAUCAGAAUAUGAUCCUUUAAUCACUUCUAUCACCACCCGAAUUGAUCCAAUGACUAUACAAGAGGUCUAUGGCCAUCUACUCAAUUUUGAGC